rnacentral:Y_RNA from 1 species
GGCUGGUCCGAGUGCAGCGGCGUUUGCAGCUAGCUGAUGGCCACCAGGUACAGAUUCCCUUGUUCCUUCUCCACUCCCACUGUUUCACUUGACUAGUUAAAA